GAGCAGAGGAGGCGGAAGUUUGUAACACUUGUUUUGGGCUGAAGGUGUAGGCACGUCCUGGCCUCCAGUCGCGCUGGAACAGGGGAACCGAAGUGAAAGGGGGUGAGGAGUCGGGGGAACUGACAGCCUGACGGACCUGGCGGCGAGAAGUGAUGACAAGGAUGUCGGAAGAGGGGCUAUGAGCAAUCAUUUAAGAACUUUCAUCACCCUGUUAGAGAGACCACAUGGAGAGAUUGUGAGACAACAUGGACAGAGCAUGAAGCCUAGCUGCACCCAGCGUUCCAGAAAUCUCUACCAAGGCACCAGCCAUAAAGGAAACCAUCCUGGCUCCACCAGAUCAACUUAGCCACCAGCUGGACAUCACUAGGUGACUCCAGUAGAUGCCAUAUGGAUCGGGAAAACUGUCCAGAUACACACACUGCAUCCUGCUAGGCUCCGUUGUCCAUUGGAUUCUCCAGGCAAGAAUACUAGAGUGGAUUGCCAUGCCCUCCUCCAAGUAUGUGUCUCCAGCACAGUGAUGCUUCAAGUGUGGUCUGAGGACCCUGGAGACACCUGACACCUGAAAUCCAUUCAAAGUGCCUGGGAACGCCUCCUUUUUCCAACUACAUAUCUCCAUAAGGUUAAAUUUUCUUCAUAUAUGUCAACCAAAAUAACCACAAUGAUACCACAGUGAUGAAGCAAUUUCUUCCAUCUGCACCCAGGUAUCUUCAGCAUGGGGGAACAAAACCACUCUCCCAGGAAGGAGCUUCAGCACUGGACACAAAAAGAGCCUCCAGGAAAGAGAAGCUGGCACUCCCAUGCCUACGCCCUUGGUGCCAUUUCCAACUUUAUGUCCACUUUUCUGACCUUUCCUAUCUAUAAGGUUGUGUUCCGGCAACAGAUCCAUGCUGUGGCGGUGUCAGAGGCUGUGCGGCAGCUUUGGCAUGAAGGCCCUCAAUACUUCUACCGGGGAAUCUACCCGCCUCUUCUCUCCAAGACAUUGCAAGGGACUCUGCUGUUUGGGACAUACGAUAGCAUGCUGUGUUGUCUCUCCCCUGUUGGGCCACACUCCCUGGGGAACCGCUGGGCUGCGGGGCUUAUGUCUGGUGUGGUGGAGGCUGUGGCACUUAGCCCCUUUGAGAGGGUGCAAAAUGUGCUCCAGGAUGGUCGCAAGCAAGCUCGCUUUCCCAGCACCAUCAGCAUUCUCAAGGAAUUUCACUCUUAUGGGCUUUGGGGCCGGCUGUCACAGGGUUACUAUCGCGGUUUCUGGCCUAUCCUUCUCAGGAACAGCCUGGGGAGUGCUCUGUAUUUCUCCUUCAAGGAUCCCAUCCAGAAUAGCUUGGCAGAGCAAGGCCUGCCCCACUGGGUUCCUGCCUUGGUGUCUGGGAGUGUCAAUGGAACAAUCACCUGCCUAGUUCUGUAUCCUCUGAUUGUGCUGGUUGCCAAUAUGCAGUCCCACAUUGGCUGGCAGAGCAUGCCAAGCUUAUGGGCCUCUAUCCAGGAUGUGUGGGACACUCGGGGCCGAAAGGUAUUUCUGAUCUACCGGGGAGGUUCCCUGGUCAUCCUAAGGUCCAGUGUAACCUGGGGCCUUACUACUGCUAUCCAUGACUUCCUGCAGAGGAGGUAUCAUUCCAGGAAAGAGCCGAAAGACUGACUGGCUGCAGGCAGUGUAGUGUGGCCAUGGCAACUUGUUAUUGUAAGCCUUCCUGGGGUGGCUUAAAUAGCUUACUUCUUUGGCUUGGUCACCUAAUACAACUAUUCUUCAAAAUCUUUCAACUGUCAGUACACUUGAGAAGGUCCCAACUACCAGCCUGUUGUGUAAAGACAAAACCCAAUAGGGUUCCUUGGUUAGAAAAAGAAAUUCACCCCAGUUUAUCCACAGCUUCAAGCAGACACAGGAAGGCUUUAUGUAACAUGUCACCUGCAUGAAAUGUCAUUCCUUUAAGGAAUUUGCUGACAUUAAGAGGAAACUCUAAAAGAUGACCUUAAUCAGGCACUGUGAGUUCUGGGACCCCUCCAGUUGUCUUCUGGGCCAAACUGAGUGGAGGACCAGGAAUUCCAAUUUCAGAGAACUAAGCUUGACUCUUGGUAUGGGGAUUCCAGAGACUUUUUCAGAUGGCUACGUUCACUACCCCUGCCACCACCUCUCUCACUUUUCAAAGUUGUUGGUGCUAGUUUCAGGGUAGUGGUUGUGGCUAGAAAUCCUGAAUUAGACUUGUCUCAACUGAUCAGAUGCCACAAGAACUGGUGGGAAUGGGAAGAAGUGUGGUCCUUGGAUGGAUGGAAAGAAUAGACUUUGAGUGAAGAGGUUUAGUUACAUGCAGAAUAGAAAAUUCUACUAUUGAUUGAUUGGUGUUACACGCUGGGACAUUUCUGAUAGCAAGGCAAUAACAUUGCCUAGUAACCACUUGAGUUUCCCUAAGAAAUCUGGAACUGAAAUGAUUAUAUCUCUUCAUCAAUAAUUGCAUAUUUUAUUGCCAUGGAUAAAUAUAAUUACUGUGACAUAAGUUAAAGAUCUGAAAUUGUAGCCUGUCAUUUAAAGUCAUUCAAAAUAUGCCCCCCAUAAACUAUGUAGCAUAUUAUCACACCAUUCCUACUUACAUAGAUCCCAUACCCUAGCCAAACUGGAGUAUUAUUCCCUCCUCAAACAUGCCACUAACUUUCCCAUAGCCAUGCUCUAUCUUCUCCACCUCCAACACCUGUUCUCUACAUGCCAGUUCGCCAAAAUCCUUCCAGUUCCUCAAAGCCCAGCUCAGAUGCCACCUUCUCUAAGGAGUCUCUUCUGAUUGCCCCUACUGAAUGUGAUUGCCCCUACUGAAUGUGAUUGCCCCUACUGAAUGUGAUUGCCCCUAAGUGAAUGUGACAUUAGUCUCUUGUGAUGUCUCUCUCCAAUUACACUUCAUACGUGGCACUGAUUCCAUUAUGUCACUGAGCUCAUGUGGUCCUCUGUUCUUGAUGUUCUUCAAUACCUCCUACUAGACUGUAAAACUCCUUGAAAGCAGGGAUUCUUGUAUAUGUUUUUAAAUCUCCCAUUGUGCCUAGGUGCUCAAUAAUGUUGGCUGAAUUAUUGAAUUGAUUAUCAAGCUGUGAUAUGGUCUUUAUCCUCAGGGUGCUGUCCCUUGUACAUGAAGAUAAUGUUAUUGAUUCAUUGUCAUGAAGACUUUAGGGUGUAAUUUUUGUUUUAUUAGUGGAUUUAGUUUUGUGCUAAUGAUAAUGAUGCUGAUGAUGAUAAUAAUAAUACCAACAAUAAGUAAAAGUGACUUUCAACUGGGA